rnacentral:rRNA from 1 species
GACGAACGCUGGCGGCGUGCUUAACACAUGCAAGUCGAACGGAAAGGCCCUGCUUUUGUGGGGUGCUCGAGUGGCGAACGGGUGAGUAAUACGUGAGUAACCUGCCCUUGACUUUGGGAUAACUUCAGGAAACUGGGGCUAAUACCGGAUAGGAGCUCCUGCUGCAUGGUGGGGGUUGGAAAGUUUCGGCGGUUGGGGAUGGACUCGCGGCUUAUCAGCUUGUUGGUGGGGUAGUGGCUUACCAAGGCUUUGACGGGUAGCCGGCCUGAGAGGGUGACCGGCCACAUUGGGACUGAGAUACGGCCCAGACUCCUACGGGAGGCAGCAGUGGGGAAUAUUGCACAAUGGGCGGAAGCCUGAUGCAGCAACGCCGCGUGCGGGAUGACGGCCUUCGGGUUGUAAACCGCUUUCGCCUGUGACGAAGCGUGAGUGACGGUAAUGGGUAAAGAAGCACCGGCUAACUAUGUG